UCGCACCUACCGAUCGAAGGUAAUGAUGAGCCCUCAGGACAGCUGUUUGGGUCCUCACGGACUCUUACGACUGGAAUUUGUGCAAAUCCUUACCUUUAGAGGAAGGUG
rnacentral:rRNA from 1 species